ACACAUGCGAGUCGUAACAUGGUACCACGAGCUUGCUCUAGGGGAUUAGUGGCGAACGGGUGAGUAACACGUGAGUAACCUGCCCUUGACUCUGGGAUAACCUCCGGAAACGGAAGCUAAUACCGGAUAUGACGUACGGAGGCAUCUCCUGUACGUGGAAAGAAUUUCGGUCAAGGAUGGACUCGCGGCCUAUCAGGUAGUUGGUGAGGUAACGGCCCACCAAGCCUACGACGGGUAGCCGGCCUGAGAGGGUGACCGGCCACACUGGGACUGAGACACGGCCCAGACUCCUACGG
rnacentral:rRNA from 1 species